GAAAUUUGCAAACAGAGAAUGGCAAUGGGUACUAACGAAUGGGGAAAUUUAGCAAUGCGGUAAAGCCAGUCUACAAGUCUUUCAGGAAAAAACCAGGCAAUGCAAGUGGGAGAUGAAGGGGCUAAAGGAGGAGACACGUUGAUGGAGCUGGAAUGCAUGAAGUUCCUGUGGCUGGGUGUGGAGGGGGUUCCUGAGGACUGUGCAAGGAGCUCCAGAGGGGAGUACAAGAUGGAUGAUCUUUGAAGAUGUACUUGAGUACUCCUGGGACAUGAGAGCUGCACUGGUCAGGUGAGUUCAUUUUGGAUGCAUGGCAGAUUUUGUACAGCUGAAGCACAUUAACUUAAACAUAAAUUCAGAGUAGAUCAAGCAUUACACCAAGGUUAAUAU
rnacentral:lncRNA from 1 species